rnacentral:rRNA from 1 species
AUUGAACGCUGGCGGCAUGCUUUACACAUGCAAGUCGAACGGUAACAGGGAAAAGCUUGCCUUUCUGCUGACGAGUGGCGAACGGGUGAGUAACACAUCGGAACGUGCCCUGUAGUGGGGGAUAACUACUCGAAAGAGUGGCUAAUACCGCAUACAACCUGAGGGUAAACGUGGGGGACCGCAAGGCCUCACGCUAUAGGAGCGACCGAUGGAAGAUUAGGUAGUUGGUAGGGUAAAGGCCUACCAAGCCGACGAUCUUUAGCGGGUCUGAGAGGACGAUCCGCCACACUGGGACUGAGACACGGCCCAGACUCCUACGGGAGGCAGCAGUGGGGAAUUUUGGACAAUGGGGCAACCCUGAUCCAGCAAUGCCGCGUGAGUGAAGAAGGCCUUCGGGUUGUAAAGCUCUUUUGUUUGGGAAGAAAUCCCUAAGGAUAAUACCCUUGGGGGAUGACGGUACCAAAAGAAUAAGCACCGGCUAACUACGUGCCAGCCGCCGCAGUAA